UCUGGUUAAGUGGAUUGGCGGGAGUAUGAGGGCAAAACCAGUAACCACUCUGGAUGGGACAACAUCUUGCUAGAAACAAACGUUAUGUGGUGGAGGGGAGGAAGGCUCUUGGCCGGUUUUCGAGGCCAUGGUGGUCAAAAUUGCUGAGAGGGAGGCAACACUCGAAAGCUACAUCAAGGACACCGGAGGAAGGACCAGAAGACCUGAGACCAAGACGACCCAAGCCCAACCCGUAGUAUGCUUCACUGACAAAUGUUGAUGUUGAUGCUUCAUCAUCACAUAGACCAAAGGUUUCAGAGAAGGCUGGUAGAUCUCUCUAUGAGUGUGAGCUGUGGGAGAUAACCCAGAACUGACAACCACCUAAAGAAGAGGUGGCGAUAAUGGCUCUCCAAGAGGAGGUUGUGAGUCUGAAGGCUUUUAUUCAACAAGGAGGCACUUAGAGGGAAUUCCUGGACCCUGAGAGGACUAAGACGAUAAUUGAGGCCACCCUGAAGCAGUUCCCAGGCCAGACACUCACUCCAGAUUGCUGGGCCAGGCAAUACAUGACAAAGUGACAGAACUGAGGUUCCAUAACAAAAACAAAGAUUUUCAAUAAAAUAGAAUAAAAGAUAACAGAAGUGUUGUGUGUUUCUUCCUCUUUAUACUGAUACUAUGGUUGAUUUUAAGUAAACACAAUAGUGAAAUAUUUAUUGAUCAAUGCGGAAAAUAUCAAACCAUAGUAGAAUAUGAA